rnacentral:rRNA from 1 species
CAGUAGCCGCGGUAAUACGAAGGGGGCUAGCGUUGCUCGGAAUUACUGGGCGUAAAGGGCGCGUAGGCGGAUGUUUAAGUCAGAGGUGAAAGCCCAGGGCUCAACCUUGGAACUGCCUUUGAUACUGGACAUCUUGAGUGUGGGAGAGGUGAGUGGAACUCCGAGUGUAGAGGUGAAAUUCGUAGAUAUUCGGAAGAACACCAGUGGCGAAGGCGACUCACUGGCCCAUUACUGACGCUGAGGCGCGAAAGCGUGGGGAGCAAACAGGAUUAGAUACCCGCGUAGUCCCUGUCUCUUAUAA